GGAAGAUUAGCUCAGUUGGGAGAGCGUCGCCCUUACAAGGCGAAUGUCACGGGUUCGAGUCCCUUAUCUUCCACCA
rnacentral:tRNA from 1 species